UUGACGGGGCCCGCACAAGCGGUGGAGCAUGUGGUUUAAUUCGACGCAACGCGAAGAACCUUACCAGGGCUUGACAUCCCCUGACCGCGUAUGAAAGUACGUUUUCACCCUCGGGUGACAGGGAGACAGGUGGUGCAUGGUUGUCGUCAGCUCGUGUCGUGAGAUGUUGGGUUAAGUCCCGCAACGAGCGCAACCCCUACGUUUAGUUGCUAACGCGUGAAGGCGAGCACUCUAGACGAACUGCCGUUGACAAAACGGAGGAAGGUGGGGAUGACGUCAAAUCAUCAUGCCCCUUAUGUUCUGGGCUACACACGUGCUACAAUGGCCGGUACAGACGGACGCAAAGCCGCGAGGUGGAGCAAAUCCUAAAAAGCCGGUCUCAGUUCGGAUUGCAGGCUGCAAUUCGCCUGCAUGAAGUCGGAAUCGCUAGUAAUCGCAGGUCAGCAUACUGCGGUGAAUACGUUCCCGGGCCUU
rnacentral:rRNA from 1 species